rnacentral:rRNA from 1 species
AUUGAACGCUGGCGGCAUGCCUUACACAUGCAAGUCGAACGGCAGCACGGGUGCUUGCACCUGGUGGCGAGUGGCGAACGGGUGAGUAAUACAUCGGAACAUGUCCUGUAGUGGGGGAUAGCCCGGCGAAAGCCGGAUUAAUACCGCAUACGAUCUACGGAUGAAAGCGGGGGACCUUCGGGCCUCGCGCUAUAGGGUUGGCCGACGGCUGAUUAGCUAGUUGGUGGGGUAAAGGCCUACCAAGGCGACGAUCAGUAGCUGGUCUGAGAGGACGACCAGCCACACUGGGACUGAGACACGGCCCAGACUCCUACGGGAGGCAGCAGUGGGGAAUUUUGGACAAUGGGCGAAAGCCUGAUCCAGCAAUGCCGCGUGUGUGAAGAAGGCCUUCGGGUUGUAAAGCACUUUUGUCCGGAAAGAAAUCCUUGGCCCUAAUACGGUCGGGGGAUGACGGUACCGGAAGAAUAAGCACCGGCUAACUACGUG